rfam:Roseburia sp. 499 contig000010, whole genome shotgun sequence.
UCCAGCGUGAGGUGGAAUCUGAAAGAAGUUGUAGGCAAACCUCUGGUCUGAAGAACAGAAAUCACAUAUAAGGCUAAAUUCUGGGAGAUAAGUUAUAUCACAACAAUCUCAUUUGGACUAAUCUCUAUGUUAGAUUACUACCUGUUAAGUUGAUUGAACUGCCGUGUACCGAACGAUACGCAC